rnacentral:rRNA from 1 species
AGUGAACGCUGGCGGUAGGCCUAACACAUGCAAGUCGAACGGCAGCACAGUAAGAGCUUGCUCUUACGGGUGGCGAGUGGCGGACGGGUGAGGAAUACAUCGGAAUCUACUUUUUCGUGGGGGAUAACGUAGGGAAACUUACGCUACUACCUCAUACGACCUACGGGUGAAAGUAGGGGAUCUUCGGACCUUUCGCGAUUGAAUGAGCCGAUGUCGGAUUAGGUAGUUGGCGGGGUAAAGGCCCACCAAGGCGACGAUCCGUAGCUGGUCUGAGAGGAUGAUCAGGCAGACUGGAACUGAGACACGGUCCCGACUCCUACGGGAGGCAGCAGUGGGGAAUAUUGGAGAAUGGGCGCAAGCCUGAUCCAGCCAUACCGCGUGGGUGAAGAAGGCCUUCGGGUUGUAAAGCCCUUUUGUUGGGAAAGAAAAGCAGCAGUUUAAUACCCCGCUGUUCUGACGGUACCCAAAGCAUAAGCACCGGCUAACUUCGUG